UCGGCAGGCGGACUCUCAACCACUGCGCCACCAGGGAAGCCCGUAACAGUGGUUUAAGCAGAGAUGCUAACAGCAAGUGGAUAUUGUCGCCUUUGGAGGGCUGCAGCUGCGCCCCUCAAAGUGAAUUUGGAGGUUCUACACGC
ensembl:snoRNA